UGGCGUCCGAUGCGAAACGCUAGAGAUACAGCGUAGCUAAGGCUUUAGAGGUGAUUUUUGACGAUGGAAGUGUACAUGGUGGUAUCUCUAGUGGUGAGGAAUCCGAAUUAGAUUGAAAACUGGAAAAUCCUAGCGAAGAAUCGAGGAAUGACCCGCGGAGUAAUCACCCACAAGUGUGGCGUCUGGAGCGGUUGAAUCGAUCCGCCGGCCCCAAACCACAGUGUGCAGGGUGUAAGAAAGUGUCCUUUGAUACUGGUGAUAUUCUGUUGGCGGUUGAUGCUCUUUACGUUCCACGCAACAAGGAACUUUGUGUUCAGCGAUCGUAUAGAUUCUGUGUCGACGCUCCGUGCUUCUCCGAAGUGCCAAGGUUUUCAAACUUAAAACCAGCCAGAAACGCACUUGCCGGUCGAGGAGCGACUCAUGAAAACAUUGAAAGAGCAUUCUCUAUGGUGCUAACAAUUGAGUCAAUGCAACCUCACACUGAAUUCUGAAAGUAGAACGAAACAGUUGUUUUUGUUGAGCGACAUGUUUUAACUCGUAUCGUCCAAGUUUAAGUUGUCAACGAACCUCUCGGCGAUGAAGAUAUGUGACAUGAAUGUAUUACACAGCUAUUGCACGAUAAAAAGGGGACCAUUUUCGUUAAAAUAAGUAUUUAUUAGUUUCCGCCAGCUGCCUAGACGUUUUUGAUAAAAGCCUCGACUAAGGACCGGCCCACAUGUGCUACAAAGCAUAAAAAUUCUGACUUGCGAAGCGUUUGUUUCACAACAUUCACUCGCCCAAAUUGGGGAUUCAAAAUAAGAUAUAAAAUCAUCUUGCCUGAGUAGUUUGCGAGCAAUCAUUUUUGACUCUAUUGUGCGUUUUGUUUAGUUAUUACAGACCAAGGGUGAAUGACAGUGAAUUCAGGAAUUUGUGCACAGCGAGAGGGAGAUAAGAAACAGACAGAACAGCCUGAGAGCUAGUUUGCUUGACGAACCUUGACAAUCUCAGCUGGAAUUCUUUGGGUCUUUUUAAGGAACAAUGAGCACUCCUUCAAAGGUGCACCUUGACUUUGUCAAACAACCCAUAGGACAAAAACCGCCUUCCAAGCUCCCGGGAAUAGGUCCUGUUAUUGAAACAAACCUGAAAGGCGCAGGAAUUACCCGAGCAUAUCACAUUCUUGGCAUGUUUCUUUACCUCGAUAAAGAUCUCGCAGCGUUCACCUCCUGGCUGAAACGCUUCGGAGCGAAUGGGGGCCAUUGCCAAGCGUGUUUCAACGCCUUGAUCGAAUGGUACCAAAAUCACUUGGCCUGACAAUUAGAAUAAUCUGUAGAUCUGUAAUUGCAACGCCUUCAUACUAUUUACAUUGAGUUCGUAAUGUCGAUGGUGUUAGCUCUACCUUGAGAAUAAAACUAGUGAUGUAAACA